GGCACGCACAAUCAGCUUAAAACCACUGCCGUCUGGGUACAGAAAAGAAAUCAUGUACCGGCCCCGUCAGCAUGGCACAUUAUCAAAGGCAUCAUUAACAGCUGCUUCGUGCAAUGGCAGGAAGCUCUCCUGGCGUGUCAGCAAGCCGUGAAGGAAAACAACGGAAGCCCAUCAAGAAGGCUUGCCAUUUCGCUACCAUUCCUCCACACCGCAAUGUCAGCCACGAUCGAAGCAACUAUCUAAAUAAAACCAUCUGGGUUCCGCGAUGAGCAUUCAUAUUAAUCUCAAAUGCUAUAAUCAUUUGGUAGCAAGACAAAGCUGCCAAGAAAAUAAAGGCGAUCCCUCCGGAAAUCUGCA
rnacentral:lncRNA from 1 species